rnacentral:rRNA from 1 species
CCUACGGGAGGCAGCAGUGGGGAAUUUUGGACAAUGGGGGCAACCCUGAUCCAGCCAUUCCGCGUGAGUGAAGAAGGCCUUCGGGUUGUAAAGCUCUUUCGGCAGGAACGAAACGGCGGGCUCUAACAUAGCCUGUUAAUGACGGUACCUGAAGAAGAAGCACCAGCUAACUACGUGCCAGCAGCCGCGGUAAU